GUCGAUUGUGUUGGAAUUAAGCCCAGCUAUUUACAGCAAUUUUGUCCUUGAUCAAAUACUUUUCAAAACAACGGAAUUCAUGGAAUUCAUUAUGUUCUUUUUGGUUCUCUCGUGAAUUUACUGUAACCAUCAGUACAAUAACGUAGUGGCAUGCAUCAGCAGGCAUCAAUGUUAUUAUGAAAGACAGCUGUGAUUGCACAACGAUGUGCUGAGCUGGCAAGUCACAUUCCUUUUAGACUGAUGAGUGGAGGAAUCCCACUUGAAAUGGCAUGCCCUCUGGUGUUCUAUGCAGGUCAUCUUCUCCUGGGACAACAAAUUCAACUCCUGCCCCCCUCCUGACCCUGGAGUCCUCACAAGCUGUUACCCCCUCCUGUGUACCUAUAUGUGUGUGUGUGCUUGUGUGUGCGUGACUGUGAAUUCUUGUGUGUGUGUGUGCGCGCAUGCAAGCUUGUGUGUGUGAUUAUAUGACAUAAGAGUCAAGCUCAAUUGCAACCCACCCCCAAGCCCCUAACACCAGUAUCAGACCUCUGGUUUGCCACCUCCCCAGCACCACCCCUCUCCCUCCCUGCUGGUUGGCCUUUUUGAGAGGGAGCUUCAGACUGAAGAAACCAGCUGGUGUGGAUGACUAAUGCCUGACUGAGGCGAGAGGGAGCAGGAGGUCUGCUUCAGUUCCAUCAGACAUGAAAUGUCACAGGAAGUUCAAUCUUCUGAACAUGGUGACUCCACAGUUCCUUUCCCCUCCAUGCUGAGUGCACGGGAGUCGAGUCUCUGUGUUUGAAAUGCAAAUAGAUUCCGCUGGCAUGCUUAAUUUCAUGGAGGAAUUAAUUGGGUUUCUAUUAUUCAUAUUCCAUUACUUCUUCCGGUUGUUCAU